rnacentral:lncRNA from 1 species
AUGUAUGUGCAUAUAUAAUGUUCGAUUUACGAUAAUUUAAUCUCUCAUUCUCGGUUAACAGAUUGAUGAUAGCUUUAAGCUGGCAGAUUUCUCCAUCAUUUUUAUGCAAAUGCGAUUCCUUUCAGCGUGCAGCUAACAUUUAAUCCGACCCCGUGUCGUAUGCAUGAUAAAUAAGCGCACGCUGUAGUUACAGGUCGUAAUUAUCGCGGAGUAUCAUUCUUUCGUGCCAAGAAGAGACCGACCUCGCCGCACUGUUCGGCUUUUCCUAUCCUUACAAGGGACCCACACAUUGUUCUAGACUGGCAGAAUACCAACAUCGUCUCGUGUUUCCCACUGGGACACAACGAUACCUCAUACCUGGAAAUAAUACGCAUCCACUGCUUCCUGUCGCUUUAAAACGAUUUACUGUACCUUUUUACUUGGGUCCUGUCUAUCUAGUCUACAGAACAUGUUCGAAAUAAGUUCAAGGACAACGUUGCGCGGGCCUUUCGGGUGAAAUCUCCGUCAAACGGAAGGCGAUAGAGUCGUCAGACUGUCAGACUUAUAAUGACUUUUAUCGACAAUAUUUACACACCCUGUACAUUAGAAAAACGACUUUGUAGACCUUCGUAUUUUCGCGGCGAUCAACUUCAACGCUUCGAUAACGGAACAGAAAAAAAGAAAGGAACGAAUUAAAAAUAAUUGAAAGAAGGAAAGAUGAAGGAGGAAGACAAAGUUCACGGUUCGAGUGAUCGACGAGUUUCACCGUUCCGCUUUGUGUUCUCAUCCACUUCCGGGCUUUCAGAGGACGGGGAAAACAGAGCAGGAAGAUCUGUCUUCGUAUCAAGAUUUAAAAUUCCGUCUGGCGCUUUACAAGAAGACAGUCAAUACGAAGGUAUUACAGGGAACAGAGGGAGAUAUAGGAAAAAGAAUAAUGGAGUAUGCACAGGGGAUCUACCGGUAGUUUUCUAUUUCUUUCCUCGUUGAAACGUUCCUCCUACAGUAUCGUUGAGGAACGGUAUCGGUUCUAACUACUCUUCACUGAUCCAUCGAGCCUUUACAGAAGUAAGUUUUAUUUUAAACAGGAUAGAUAGUAAGUAAUAAGUACAUGCUAAUUACGAAGGAAGAAUUAAAUAACGCGAUGUAACAGAAUAAAAUAGCAAUGUAAUAUGUGCAGUUGAUGUUAAAACGGGUCUUUACAGUGUUCUCUUUUUGGAAUUUAUUAUAGUUUAAUGUUUUUUUAUUGAGAAUAUUUUUCCUUGAAUUUUAUA